CCUACGGGUGGCAGCAGUGAGGAAUAUUGGUCAAUGGCCGGAAGGCUGAACCAGCCAUGCCGCGUGAAGGUCAGUGCCCUAUGGGCGUUAAACUUCUUUUGUGCGGGAGCAAUAAUGGUCACGUGUGGCCAGACGAGAGUACCGUACGCAUAAGCAUCGGCUAACUCCGUGCCAGCAGCCGCGGCAAUACGGGGGAUGCAAGCGUUAUCCGGAUUUAUUGGGGUUAAAGGGUGCGUAGGCUGUGAGGUAAGUCAGCGGUGAAAUGCCCCCGCUCAACGGGGUGAAGUGCCAUUGAUACUGGCUUGCUGGAAUGCGGAAGACGUGGGAGGAAUGUGUGGUGUAGCGGUGAAAUGCAUAGAUAUCACACAGAACACCGAUUGCGAAGGCAUCUCACGAAUCCGCGAUUGACGCUGAUGCACGAAAGCGUGGGUAUCAAACAGGAUUAGAUACCCUUGUAGUC
rnacentral:rRNA from 1 species